AUGAUAGAAGAGUUGGGGUCGAUCCAUGACAAUAAUUCAUGGGAGCUUGUGGAUCUUCCCAACAAUGAAAAGGCUAUGGAGCUCAAGUGGGAAUUUAAGGUCAAGAAAGAUGUUGAAGGGUGCAUGAAGCACAAAGCGAGGCUACUAACCAGAGAGUAUGUGCAAGAGGAAGGUGUGGACUUCGAAGAAGUGUUCAUUCCCAUUGCAAAGAUGGAGUCGGUGAGAUUACUCAUCACUCUCGCGGCUCAGGACUCAUGGAAGGUACAUCACAUGGAUGUAAACUCUGCGGUUUUGAAUGGCGAGAUAGAAGGAGAUGCGUAUGUGAAUCAACCAUCAGAUUUCAUCAAAGAGGGAGAAGAGCACAAGGUACUGAAGUCACACAAAAUCUUGUAUGGGCUAUGGCAAGGACCUCGGGAGUGGAACAUCAAACUUGGUCGGACAUUGAUUUCUCUUGGAUUUGAGAAAGCCCCACUAGAGCAUGCAAUGUACAAGCGAGGUGAAGGAAGGGAUCGUCUACUAGUUGGCAUCUAUGUCGACGACCUAUUAAUUACCGGAGCAGAUGAAGAGUUGAUUGCAAAGUUCAAGCUACAGAUGAAAGAGCUUUUCAAGAUGGAUGAUCUCGGUCUUUUGAGCUACUACCACGGGAUAGAGGUACAUCAAAAGAUGGAGGGGAUCACAUUAUGCCAGGAGGCAUACAGAAGGAAGGUACUUGAAAGCCGUGCCAUGAAAUAUUGCAAUCCAAUUGAUGCUCCAAUGGAACCUUGUCUUGAGCUGAACAAGAAGAGUAAAGCAACCGCGGCGUGUGAAGGUGUGUGGCUAGGGCGGCUACACGGUGAUCUCAUGGAUCGAGAUCCGGAACAAGUGGUGCUUAAUGUUGAUAGCAAGUCUGAAAGUUUUAUACGCGAAGAUUCAGUGCGGCAUGAUAGAAGCAAGCACACUGAUACGGUGUAUCACUACAUAAAGGACUGCGUGGAAGAAGCUAAGAUGAAGGUCAACUAUGUUUGCACCGAUGAUCAGAUGGCAAACAUCCUAACCAAGGCUUUGGAUCGAGAGAAGCUCUUGGAGAUACGAAGAAGGAUCGGCGUCGGAGCUGUGACAUGA
rnacentral:rRNA from 1 species